GAGAAAAGCAGGGGAUCGCAAGACCUUGCGCUUUUGGAGCGGCCGAUGUCUGAUUAGCUAGUUGGUGAGGUAAAGGCUUACCAAGGCGUCGAUCAGUAGCUGGUCUGAGAGGACGACCAGCCACACUGGGACUGAGACACGGCCCAGACUCCUACGGGAGGCAGCAGUGGGGAAUUUUGGACAAUGGGGAAAACCCUGAUCCAGCCAUGCCGCGUGAGUGAAGAAGGCCUUCGGGUUGUAAAGCUCUUUCAGCCGGAACGAAACGGUCACAGCUAAUACCUGUGACUACUGACGGUACCGGAAGAAGAAGCACCGGCUAACUACGUGCCAGCAGCCGCGGUAAUACGUAGGGUGCGAGCGUUAAUCGGAAUUACUGGGCGUAAAGCGUGCGCAGGCGGUUUUGUAAGUCAGAUGUGAAAUCCCCGGGCUUAACCUGGGAACUG
rnacentral:rRNA from 1 species